GAAAAGCAAGAAAAACAGAGGAGGGAUUUCCUUAAGAUUUUUCACACAAAAACUUUGAUUCACGAAGAUCCAACGGUCCAAUCUUCGAUCCGUCUUAGGAUACGAGAUCCUUGCACUCGGAUCUACGUUCCUACCGUUCACUUUGAGCGGCACUUUGAGGGUCAAACCUAGGAUUGUUGGAAUCAAGAUUACGAGUAAUCCAAGCCCCCACAACCGUAUAGAUGAUGCUACUUUGGCUGCAGGUACUCUAGAGUUAGAUGACGAUCCAAUAGCGUCAUACCUGGGAUAUUACGACUGAGACUCACUGCGACAGUUGUAAUGGGUUGGACUAUGGUGUCCUCCCUUUUUGGUAUAUUUUGUAUAUGGCUUGUGACGUGAGUGUCACGUAUUCUUUUGUAUAAGCCAUUCUUUUGUUAUAUGAUGUAAUGAUGUUAAGCCUUAAACAGAUAGACAUGUGUAUGACUCUUUUGUUAAAUCAACAGGUUACGUUUUAGUUGUAUUAUUCCGCUGAAAAUAU